rnacentral:rRNA from 1 species
UGGAGGAAAGCAGGGGAUCGAAAGACCUUAUGCUUUUGGAGCGGCCGAUGUCUGAUUAGCUAGUUGGUAAGGUAAUGGCUUACCAAGGCAACGAUCAGUAGUUGGUCUGAGAGGACGACCAGCCACACUGGGACUGAGACACGGCCCAGACUCCUACGGGAGGCAGCAGUGGGGAAUUUUGGACAAUGGGCGCAAGCCUGAUCCAGCAAUGCCGCGUGAGUGAAGAAGGCCUUCGGGUUGUAAAGCUCUUUCAGUUGAGAAGAAAAGAUUGUGACUAAUAAUUGCAAUUCAUGACGGUAUCAACAGAAGAAGCACCGGCUAACUACGUGCCAGCAGCCGCGGUAAUACGUAGGGUGCGAGCGUUAAUCGGAAUUACUGGGCGUAAAGGGUGCGCAGGCGGUUCUGUAAGUCAGAUGUGAAAUCCCCGGGCUUAACCUGGGAAUUGCGUUUGAAACUACAAAGCUAGA